AGAGUUUGAUUAUGGCUCAGGAUGAACGCUAGCGAUAGGCCUAACACAUGCAAGUCGAGGGGCAGCACAUGAAGUAGCAAUACGGAUGGUGGCGACCGGCGCACGGGUGAGUAACGCGUAUGCAACCUGCCUACAACAGGGGAAUAACCCGUUGAAAGACGGACUAAUACCCCAUAACACAGGGAUCCCGCAUGGGAAUAUUUGUUAAAGAUUUAUCGGUUGUAGAUGGGCAUGCGUUCCAUUAGCUUGUUGGUGAGGUAACGGCUCACCAAGGCAACGAUGGAUAGGGGAACUGAGAGGUUUAUCCCCCACACUGGUACUGAGACACGGACCAGACUCCUACGGGAGGCAGCAGUGAGGAAUAUUGGUCAAUGGACGCAAGUCUGAACCAGCCACGUCGCGUGAAGGAAGACGGCCCUACGGGUUGUAAACUUCUUUUGUAAGGGAAUAAAGUGUAGUACGUGUACUAUUUUGCAUGUACCUUACGAAUAAGGAUCGGCUAACUCCGUGCCAGCAGCCGCGGUAAUACGGAGGAUCCGAGCGUUAUCCGGAUUUAUUGGGUUUAAAGGGUGCGCAGGCGGGAGAUUAAGUCGGCGGUGAAAUUUUGCAGCUCAACUGUAAAAGUGCCUUCGAAACUGGUUUCCUUGAGUGUGGAUGAAGUAGGCGGAAUUUGUGGGUGUAGCGGUGAAAUGCAUAGAUAUCACGAGGAACUCCGGAUUGCGCAGCAGCUUACUAAACCAUAACUGACGCUCAGGCACGAAGGCGUGGGAUCAAACAGAUAGAAUACCCUGUAGUC
rnacentral:rRNA from 1 species